rnacentral:rRNA from 1 species
GUUGUAUGGUUAAGCGACCAAGCGUAUACGGUGGAUGCCUUGGCAGUCAGAGGCGAUGAAGGACGUAGUAACUUGCGAAAAGCGUUGGUGAGCUAGUAACAAGCAUUUGAGCCAGCGAUGUCCGAAUGGGGAAACCCGGCAGCAUAAGCUGUCAUCAAUACGUGAAUACAUAGCGUAUUGAGGCGAACGAGGGGAACUGAAACAUCUAAGUACCCUUAGGAAAAGAAAUCAACCGAGAUUCCCCAAGUAGCGGCGAGCGAACGGGGAUUAGCCCUUAAGUCUUUGGGGUGUUAGUGGAAUGUGUUGGAAAGCACAGCGGCACAGGGUGAUAGCCCCGUACACGUAAACUAACCAGAGAUGAAAUCGAGUAAGGCGGCACACGUGAUAUGUUGUCUGAAUAUGGGGGGACCAUCCUCCAAGGCUAAAUACUCCUGACUGACCGAUAGUGAACCAGUACCGUGAGGGAAAGGCGAAAAGAACCCCUGUGAGGGGAGUGAAAUAGAACCUGAAACCGUAUACGUACAAGCAGUGGAAGCGGUUCUUGAGACCGUGACUGCGUACCUUUUGUAUAAUGGGUCAGCGACUUACAUUUAGUAGCGAGGUUAAGCGAAUAGCGGAGCCGUAGGGAAACCGAGUGUUAACUGCGCGUAUAGUUGCUAGGUGUAGACCCGAAACCCGGUGAUCUAGCCAUGGGCAGGUUGAAGGUUGAGUAACAUCAACUGGAGGACCGAACCGACUAAUGUUGAAAAAUUAGCGGAUGACUUGUGGCUGGGGGUG